AGGCCCCCAUUGGGGAACACGCAGCCCCACACGCGGGGUGAGCUGUCCCUUGGCCCGGGCCCCAUGUGCUCCCCCCACGCUGUGGCAGGCUCUCCCCCUGCCCGGGCCGUGCAACCAGCCUCGGGGCUGAAGGCCUCCUGUUGCCGUGGCCUGUCUGGAAGGGCCUGGGCCUCCUGCCAUCCCCACCGAGAGGGCCGCGUCCAGCCCCACCACUGCCUCCCUCCCGUGCGUGGGAAACGAAAGGGCCGACGCUGGCGUGGAAGAGGCCUGGCUGACCAGCACGGGCUAGAACAGCAGCACCCGCAUACGGAUUCCAGCGGGCACAGCUGCUCCAGCCUUUGCCCCAGCUCUCGCCAGGGAAGCUCCUGGUGAGGUGGUAAAUCCGACAGGCCACCUGUUGGGUGGUUUGUCCCCUGUCUGAGACUGAAACCGAACUAGACGUGGAUUUGGGCCGUAUUGGAUGUUGGGGACACCAUUUGGAGGAGCACGCUGCUCCACUGUGUGACCUCCCGCACCCUGCAGCUAUUUAUCUGGUGCUCUUUUUUUUUUUGUGGCUUCGGGACUCCUAUUUUGUCACACCACUCGGAAAGAUUCCUCUUACUGAUAGUAAUUUCAUCACUAUGAUGAAGAUGCAAGUCUGAAAAAUGGAGGCUAAUGAAAAUUAUAUAAUACAGAGAGAAAGAUUUGUGCGUCUGUCAGCAGAAUGGUAAAUGGGUCCCUUUCUUUUUGCAGAAAUGUUGAAACAAGUUGUUACUAUUUUUAAAAUGGCACUUGUGGAGAAACAAAAAUGGGCCUGUUACUAUUUUGCUAUGUUUGAGAAGUGUCUGCAAGGACAAACACCAGAUCUCCGGCAGGUUAACAUUGUCAAUAUUCUUAAUUAUAUACAUGGUGUAAAACAGUUGGAAGUGGGAGCAACAAUAGUUUAGCUCACAGACUUUAAAAUGUUCAGUAGGGCUUGUCAGGCGCCUCAUUGUUUUUAGAUUUAAUAGGCUUUUAAAGUAGUUCUUGUUGUUUAUGAGGUGCCUUUGCUUACCAAACAUGUUUCUAUUUUUGGGAAAUACAUGCCUCCUUAACUUCACCAAAACCUAACAAAGGUUCAUGUCAACCAGGAAGCUCUUUUCUUACUAAAUCAAGGAUUAAGAAAGAUGAACCAUUUUGUAUGGAAGGGGGAGUCAUAGGAAUUCCACACAUAUUUUCAAUCUGUAAUCUGCAUCAGGAAAUCCAGAUUCAUAAAGACAUUUCUCCUCAGAAACAUACAGCAACUGGGAAAAAAAUAUCCUUCCCCUAAUGUAGCAAUGCAACUUAAUAGUCAGAUUCCCUCUCCCAACUCACCAUCGGAUGGAAAAAUUGUAGUGUCAGAUGCCUUCUGAGGCUCAAAAUAUCUUUAGCUUAUCUUAACUCCUGAAAUGCUAGUCUCAGAAGUUGAGCCUGAUCUCCUGUUCAAUAGCAUAUUGCACUUCUUCCUGAGCUAUCUGAUCAGACAUCAACCUGACCUGAAGUGAGUUAGAUUGUUUCAUCCUUAACCAUAAUGGAUUUAAGUUCACCUCAUAAUGCAACAUAGAAGUCUUUGCUCAGGAUUGGGCUGUCACUGGAAAAUUGUGUAUAGUCGGGAUGAAUAUGUGGCAGCUCAGGAUUGGAAUAGCAUAGCUAUACCAGUUAGGAUUAGGAUACUUUUGUCGGGCUGUUUAGGAGAUUCUCAUUAUUGAGGCUUUGGUUUCCAGUUAAAAUUAAUCACUGAAAUCACUGAGAGCUGUGGUAAGUGGGGGGCCCUGAAGACAUCUUGGCAAGUGGCCAGCCAGGCGGCUGGCAGAGAGGGCCAGAGCAGAGCCCCGCAGAGAGGUGUGGCAGUCGGCCAUUGGGACAACGAGUGAGUGCCGAAGCAGUGGAGCGUGUAAGGUGACUCCUUACCUAACCCCUCUUCAUACAGGGUUGGAAGUGAACUGUGCGGAUGAACCUCUGAACUCUGGGGCUGCACUGGCUAAGCAGAGCAACUGUGAGUGGGGUGCAGAGAAGGGACAAGCACCUUAAAGGGACUUUUGGGUUGCUGAAUUUAAGAACCUGAGGGGAAAAGGCUCUGCCCAACUUACUUGUGAGUAGGUCUUUUGAUCGUGGUUUAUGUUUAUGAACCCUGGUUGUGGUGUUCUCCCAAAUUAAUGCAGUGUUACUUUCCUCCUUUUAUUAAAAGUUUUUGCUA